rnacentral:misc_RNA from 1 species
CGCUAGAGAGUGCUCGCGUGCACACGUCCUUCCGUAGAGCGUUCCGCGGAGGGUGCUGAAUUCGUUUGAUUUGUCGUCCCCUGAUUCCAGCCGAUUGUAUUUAGGAGGGACGACACAGUAACCCCGGUGGGGGCGCAUGGCGGUGCCUUGCCCUAAACAUAAGCACGGCUCAGGAAACGCUCCCCUUCCGCAUGUUAUGCGCGCAUUGCGCAUGGACGGUUGUCUGACGAAAACAGGUGCCCAGCUCAACGAUAGCGUCAACUUGUGCGCCGAACACGUGCCCAACG